UACGGGGGGGGCAAGCGUUGUUCGGAAUUACUGGGCGUAAAGGGCUCGUAGGCGGCCAACUAAGUCAGACGUGAAAUCCCUCGGCUUAACCGGGGAACUGCGUCUGAUACUGGAUGGCUUGAGUUUGGGAGAGGGAUGCGGAAUUCCAGGUGUAGCGGUGGAAUGCGUAGAGAUCCGGAGGAAGACCGGUGGCGAAGGCGGCCUGCUGGGCAGUUACUGACACUGAGGCGCGACAGCGUGGGGAGCAAACAGG
rnacentral:rRNA from 1 species